ensembl:lncRNA
AUAUCUCUGUCCAAGCCAGCUGAAGGAGUCUUGCAUGAUAUCAGGCCUGGCAAUUUUGUGGUAAUCAAGGACUUGAGGAGAAAGCAUUAGAAAUCUAAGUGGUGGAAUGGUCCGUUACAGGUCCUGCUGAUAACACACACUGCAGUGAAAGUGGCAGAGAGAGCUACGUGGGUACACGCAAACCACUGCAGGAAGGUUCCAGCACCACCAGAGGGCGCCACAAACCAGUAAUGUGAUUGACCAGCUGCCCCUUGCCAAGGGGGACGUCUGACUGACUGCGGCGAACAAACAUACAGUGGUGUAUGGGAGCUGAACAUGCAGCAACAUCACUGUGUGGGAGUGAUCUGAGGUCAGUGCAGGCCAACAAAUGGCAACAAGGAGACAAGUUUUACACAUCACCGUAGAGGAACAAGUAUUGCUUGGAUCAGGGUCAGUGUGGUGGAAUGCCAGACAUCCAUUAACCCCAAUCACAGACUAUCGAUAUCAGAGAGUAGUGGGGUACGACCGCAGCAGACAGAUUCACCUGAUAAUAGAGGAAGAUAGUGCUGUGUUGUCUGUGUUCACAACCACCAGCUACAAAGCCUUAUAUCAGCCUGAAGGACAGACAGUUGCAUUAGCAUACUGCAAACCACACCUGAGACCACUGCUGGAUAGAGAAACACGACAGAUUUUAGUAGCACCAACCAAACUUCGUGGAGUCACAUGGCAGUACUUGACAAGAUGGUAUGCCACGAAUUGAGCAGGAAAAUGAGACCACCAAAGGGCUGGUCAGAGACUGAUGAAGUUUGUGGGGGAUGGCAGUAGGCCUCAUCCUUCUAAUACUGCUCACUGUUAACCUAGUGUUGCCUAUUCGAAUAUAUCUGAAUGACCAUUCCAAGAAUGAUGACAACAAUACCAUCAGCGACAUUAUCGGUGAACUACAACAUUGAUCCAAUCAAUCAAACCGUCCUGAGACAAGUCAGAGAAGUAAAGACAGGAGAUGAGCAUUGGCUUGACCACCCUGAUCCUCCACAUUCGUAUGCAAACAAUAUGUGGUGGAGAUUAAUUAACCACACUGCCAGGGUAAAUGGAAUGAGCGACUGCUAUGUGUUUGCUCAACUUCCGCACAGCAUGACGGGAGGGGAUUGGUGGCCAUACCAAGAUCCAGAUCCAGAGGUAAUAAAAGACCUGACAAGAAUUGCAGUCGCAGCCGCUAACAUGCCUGAUGAAGAUGACCUAUGGAUUGUGGAAGAAGAAGGCCUGAUACGCUACAGACGACAGUCAGAACCCUCAAAAGAAUGGCUGGACGAGUUGCUACUGUAAAAGAGACACUUGUGAAUUAAACAUGCUUCCAGAGCAGCGAGGGACAAGACUACUUAGGGAACAUACCAUCUGGCCACUGCAGUGAAAUCUACAAUAUCAAAUUGACAAGUGACGAGACCAGAAGUAUGUGCAUGGGUUGUCUGCUUAACACCACAUUUCCAAAUCAUUACUUACCACAAUCGCUGGUGAGCAGACACUAUCUCACCAACCUUCAUGCACCUGAAUGAAGGAGAUGCUAUAUAGCAUGUGGCAUGACUCAUAUACCAGAUGAUGAAGGAACUGGUGUGCUGGAAGACUGGUAUUGGUUAUGUGGACACGUUGUCUACACUUCACUGCCAAGAGACUGGACAGGCACGUGUGCCAUGGUGGAGCUGUAUAGAGGAACAUUGGUAGUCAAGACACCUGAACACCUUCACAACUACACUGAAAAUCAUCUGACAAGAAUGAAGAGAGAGAUCAAAAAGAAAGUGUCCACACUGAAAUGGCGAGCUGAGCAAUCAAGCUGGGCAAGAGACAAUUAUGUUCCGAGAGAACACAGGCUGUGGACUGGAAUGGAGAAGAUCUUUCAUGAAGUAUUUCCCAUAAAAGAAAAUACCUAUCAAAGUUGUGUCUUUGCUUCGUAUCAACUCAUGCAGAUCAGGCACAAAUAAAAUGUACGUAAUUGAUGUGGUUUAAAGACA